UGAGUGCAUUCACAUGUAUCUUUCUGAAAUG
rnacentral:piRNA from 1 species